GGACUACUGGGGUAUCUAAUCCUGUUUGCUCCCCACGCUUUCGCACAUGAGCGUCAGUAUUGGUCCAGGAAGUCGCUUUCGCCACUGAUGUUCCUUCCGAUAUCUACGCAUUUCACCGCUACACCGGAAAUUCCACUUCCCUCUCCCAUACUCUAGCAAUGCAGUCUCGAAUGCAGUUCCCAGGUUAAGCCUGGGGAUUUCACACCCGACUUGCAAAGCCGCCUACGCGCGCUUUACGCCCAGUAAUUCCGAUUAACGCUCGCACCCUCUGUAUUACCGCGGCUGCUGGCAC
rnacentral:rRNA from 2 species